UGCAAAAUAAAGUACAACAACUAAGGUGUAGGCUUCAUUUAAUUCUUUUUCAUUUGUGAUGUCAAUUUUUUCUUGACAGUUUUUAUUAUCCUCAUUUUAUAGAUGAAAAAACUGAGGUUGCUGAAUGAGUGACUUGCCCAAGAUAUCUCACAGCUAACAAAGGACAGAGAUGUGACGCUGCUGGGUCAAAGGGUUAGUGCAUAUAAAAUUGGAGGGAGUUAUCAAUCGUUUUCCCUCAAAAUAGUACCAAUUCUCAUUCCUAUCAGCAGUGCGCCAGGAGGCCUGUUUCCCCACACCCUCGCCAUCAUAGAACAUCAUCAAACCUUUUGAUUUUGCUCACAGCAACGAACAAGAACUGGUCGGAAGUGCCGCCAUUUGCUGAGUAGCCUGAACGUGCCAGGAGCCUCGUGUGAGCACCCAUCAGUGGCACCUAAGCCUGAUCAAGGCCAUGCACUCAUCCAGAGUGGGGACCUGACGCCAGAUUUCCUGACCGCAAAGUCUCUGCUGGAGCAACUGAUAAAUUACUUCGUUACACUUUGCGAAUCAAACUUCCCCUAAAUUUGGGAACCACUGAGCGGCAGAGCUGCCCUGAAAACUGAAGGAGAGAUAUGCAACUCAAGUGUCAGAGACGUGAACAAGCACGCCAAGCGAGGGCGGUGAUAAUUUAUACCCCUUGAAGGCGCACACCCACGAACACUCUCUCUCUCUCACAGAAAUGAAAUCCUGUGAUUUUUCUGUUGGACAGGAAAAUAAGCGUCUAUUGCCAAAAUCUGCCGUGAGCAGUUGCAGAAACAAUCGUGUUUUGCAGAGCUUUCUCACCGACCCCUGCUGCAGAGGGCGGACGGGGCAGAGAACGGCUCUUUCAUCAGGCCCUGCGGCUGCUGCCUUCUCCGGGCGCUGGCUCUGCGCAGCUUGCUUGCUUUUUCUCCAUUUUAAUGGAUUAGCUCCUAAAAUACUUCGGAACUUUUCUGCAUUCUACAGAAAAUAAAAGGCCUUUUAUCUCUGGGUGUUUCUCUUACUCCAACGGAAUCAAGGGUGAAAAAUGAGAGGAGAAAUAACCCCUUUUUCUUUUUGUGUGCUUAAUAAAUGGUUUUUAGGCAUGAGCUCCCUGGGGCAGCAGCAGCCACACUGUACUUUCUGUAUCUUAGGUAAAGUUCCUAAAGAAAAGGGGAGCCUUGAUAAGUGUUUAGUAAUUACCUUUAAUAAAUAAAAGUAACUUACACUGGCAACAUGCCUAAUGGUUCACAAAGCACUUUCCAUUUUGAACUUUUGACCAGUUCUGGGAAGUGGAUAGGGUCUUUUGUAGGUUUCUUUUUUUUUGAGAGAGAAGUUAAAUAACUUGUAUAAUCAAACAGCUGGCAAACAGAAGAAUCCAGACUCUACCUGAUUUUUCUGAUUUCAAUGCUGUUUUGACUUCACCAAGCUGUCUCUUUAAUAAUCAUCAGCAAGCAUUUAUUUUAACACUCUCAAAUCCUUAUUAACUUCAAGAACAAGCAAGAAUAAAAGUCAUCUAUCAAAUUUUACUAGUAUUAUACAAGUGAAUGAAUACCUCUAUAACCAGGAGACAGAGAAAUCCUUCUGAGUUAGAUUUAAUAACCAAAUGUAAUGAAAGGCUGAACAUUUGAAAGGAUUAAGAAAGCUUUUGUGUGGCAAAAAUUAUGAAUCCACACACACACAAAAUUACAGCUAAUAAAUAAGUGUGGUAAGAUUGCAUACAAGGUAAAUAGAACAUCUGUAUUUCUUACACUAGCAAUGAACAAUACGAAAAGGAA